rnacentral:rRNA from 1 species
AUUGAACGCUGGCGGCAGGCUUAACACACGCAAGUCGAGCGGAGCGAGGGUGCUUGCACCUUAGCUUAGCGGCGGACGGGUGAGUAAUGCUUAGGAAUCUGCCUAUUAGUGGGGGACAACAUUCCGAAAGGAAUGCUAAUACCGCAUACGCCCUACGGGGGAAAGCAGGGGAUCUUCGGACCUUGCGCUAAUAGAUGAGCCUAAGUCGGAUUAGCUAGUUGGUGGGGUAAAGGCCUACCAAGGCGACGAUCUGUAGCGGGUCUGAGAGGAUGAUCCGCCACACUGGGACUGAGACACGGCCCAGACUCCUACGGGAGGCAGCAGUGGGGAAUAUUGGACAAUGGGCGGAAGCCUGAUCCAGCCAUGCCGCGUGUGUGAAGAAGGCCUUUUGGUUGUAAAGCACUUUAAGCGGGGAGGAAGGCGGUGAAGUUAAUAACUUCACCGAUUGACGUUACCCGCAGAAGAAGCACCGGCUAACUCCGUGCCAGCCGCCGCCGUAA